UGAAAAUCCGCUUUCGGCCAUACUUCUGCCACUAUCGAAUUCUGGAGUAUCGAUUCUACUUCCGUCCGAUUUGAAACCUUUCCACGAGUGAAUUUCGUGCGACCAAUCUGACGAAGACAGAUUUAUAUAGCAAUCAUAUACAUAUAUAUAAAAGGCAAAGUAGAACAUAAUACAAAUUGUCCAAUCGUGUUAAUUUACUGUGGGAAUAUUCUUGAUAUCACUAGCAUUGGCUGUCUCUAAUUUGUAGCUUUUGUAUCAUUCGACCAAUCAGCUGAGAUAGCUGUUGCUAAUUAGUAUCUGGCGGUAAAUUGGUAAAAUGAAUUUUUAAGCAAGUCUUCCUAGAAUGGAAUAAGAUUAUAGCACCAUUAGUGGUGACAUUUGAAACUGGCAAUUUCAGAAAAUAUUACCGCCAUAGAUAAAAUACAAAAGGUAUAUGAUAAUCGGAAUAAAAGUUUACAUAUUUGAAAUCAUUAAAAUUUACUUUAUAAAUAUUUGCUAUUUUUUCAAAAUUAAAAAUACCAAUUAUAAUUGUGAUUUUUAAUUGCAAAUAUACGUAAAUAUGCUAAGAC